AUUGAACGCUGGCGGCAGGCCUAGCACAUGCAAGUCGAGCGGAUGGAGGGAGCUUGCUCCUGGAUUCAGCGGCGGACGGGUGAGUAAUGCCUAGGAAUCUGCCUGGUAGUGGGGGAUAACGUCCGGAAACGGGCGCUAAUACCGCAUACGUCCUGAGGGAGAAAGUGGGGGAUCUUCGGACCUCACGCUAUCAGAUGAGCCUAGGUCGGAUUAGCUAGUUGGUGGGGUAAAGGCCUACCAAGGCGACGAUCCGUAACUGGUCUGAGAGGAUGAUCAGUCACACUGGAACUGAGACACGGUCCAGACUCCUACGGGAGGCAGCAGUGGGGAAUAUUGGACAAUGGGCGAAAGCCUGAUCCAGCCAUGCUGCGUGUGUGAAGAAGGUCUUCGGAUUGUAAAGCACUUUAAGUUGGGAGGAAGGGCAGUAAGUUAAUACCUUGCUGUUUUGACGUUACCAACAGAAUAAGCACCGGCUAACUUCGUG
rnacentral:rRNA from 1 species